AACGAACGCUGGCGGCAGGCCUAACACAUGCAAGUCGAGCGAGGACUUCGGUCCUAGCGGCGGACGGGUGAGUAACGCGUGGGAACGUGCCCCUUGGUACGGAAUAGCCCCGGGAAACUGGGAGUAAUACCGUAUGAGCUCUACGGAGGAAAGAUUUAUCGCCAAGGGAUCGGCCCGCGUUGGAUUAGGUAGUUGGUGGGGUAAUGGCCUACCAAGCCGACGAUCCAUUGCUGGUUUGAGAGGAUGAUCAGCCACACUGGGACUGAGACACGGCCCAGACUCCUACGGGAGGCAGCAGUGGGGAAUCUUAGACAAUGGGCGCAAGCCUGAUCUAGCCAUGCCGCGUGAGCGAUGAAGGCCUUAGGGUUGUAAAGCUCUUUCAGCGAGGAAGAUAAUGACUGUACUCGCAGAAGAAGCCCCGGCUAACUCCGUGCCAGCAGCCGCCGUAAUAC
rnacentral:rRNA from 1 species